UAGGAAAAAAAGCUUGUGGCAACUGUCUUCUCUGAGCAGCGGUCUUGUGAACAUGGGCCUCAGUACAAUAAAGAGGACACUUCACACCCUACAACCCGUAAAAAUAACCCAGAUUCGUCAGAACUGCACACCCAUCUUAGGCCUACUGUACCUGUUUUACUUCAUGAUCCCCAUAU